rnacentral:rRNA from 1 species
UACGAAGGGGGCUAGCGUUGCUCGGAAUUACUGGGCGUAAAGCGCACGUAGGCGGCUUUCUAAGUCGGAGGUGAAAUCCUGGAGCUCAACUCCAGAACUGCCUUCGAUACUGGAGAGCUUGAGUCCGGGAGAGGUGAGUGGAACUGCGAGUGUAGAGGUGAAAUUCGUAGAUAUUCGCAAGAACACCAGUGGCGAAGGCGGCUCACUGGCCCGGUACUGACGCUGAGGUGCGAAAGCCAGGGGAGCAAACGGG